CUGCUAAUACCGCAUACGCCCUACGGGGGAAAGGAGGGGACCUUCGGGCCUUCCGCGAUUGGAUGAACCUAGGUGGGAUUAGCUAGUUGGUGAGGUAAUGGCUCACCAAGGCGACGAUCCCUAGCUGUUCUGAGAGGAUGAUCAGCCACACUGGGACUGAGACACGGCCCAGACUCCUACGGGAGGCAGCAGUGGGGAAUAUUGCACAAUGGGGGAAACCCUGAUGCAGCCAUGCCGCGUGUGUGAAGAAGGCCUUCGGGUUGUAAAGCACUUUCAGUAGGGAGGAAAGGUAAUAGUUUAAUAAACUAUUACUGUGACGUUACCUACAGAAGAAGGACCGGCUAACUCCGUGCCAGCAGCCGCGGUAAUACGGAGGGUCCGAGCGUUAAUCGGAAUUACUGGGCGUAAAGCGUGCGCAGGCGGUUUGUUAAUCCAGAUGUGAAAUCCCCGGGCUCAACCUGGGAAUUGCAUUUGGAACUGGCGAACUAGAGUCUUGUAGAGGGGGGUAGAAUUCCAGGUGUAGCGGUGAAAUGCGUAGAUAUCUGGAGGAAUACCGGUGGCUAAGGCGGCUCCCCUGGACAAAGACUGACGCUCAUGCACGAAAGCGUGGGGAGCAAACAGGAUUAGAUACCCUUGUAGUCCACGCCGUAAACGAUGUCUAUUCGGAGUUUGGUGAC
rnacentral:rRNA from 1 species